CCGACGUGGUCAUCCAGCGAGGUUGCUCUCCUGGCUCUGUCCUGGUGGCGUAUGGGAGCGUAGCCUUUUUUGGGCUGAGACGUACAUUCCCGUUCCACAACGUCGGAGACUAAGCUCCGUCCCCGGCUGCUGGUCGGUCGGUGAGGGCGGGGCGUCCUGCAUAUUCCUACAUCUUCCCAGAGUCCCUUGGGGCCGUUACUGGGGGGCUAAACCAUGCAGUGUACAAAC
rnacentral:snoRNA from 1 species